rnacentral:lncRNA from 1 species
GGUACUGUUACCAAAGUAACUUUGUUUUGGUAAUUAAGCAUGACUUCAUCUAAUUCUUUAUUGGCUUUGCAAUUUCCGCCUCUGAGAGCCAUUUUAACUUGCUGUGAAAUGUCUGCUCAUUUUCUCAAUGUACAACAAUGGGUUGGUUCAGGAUUCGUUUGAUGAUUGGAGGAAGUCCUUUGUGACUCCCACUCAACCUCAGUGACC